rnacentral:piRNA from 1 species
UGGUAGCUACUAUGGAAUAGUUCAUC